AUUGAACGCUGGCGGCAGGCCUAACACAUGCAAGUCGAGCGGAUGAAGGUAGCUUGCUACCUGAUUCAGCGGCGGACGGGUGAGUAAUGCCUAGGAAUCUGCCUGGUAGUGGGGGACAACGUUUCGAAAGGAACGCUAAUACCGCAUACGUCCUACGGGAGAAAGUGGGGGAUCUUCGGACCUCACGCUAUCAGAUGGGCCGAGGUACGCUUAGCUAGUUGGUGAGGUAAAGGCUCACCAAGGCGACGAUCGUUAACUGGUCUGAGAGGAUGAUCAGUCACACUGGAACUGAGACACGGUCCAGACUCCUACGGGAGGCAGCAGUGGGGAAUAUUGGACAAUGGGCGAAAGCCUGAUUCAGCCAUGCCGCGUGUGUGAAGAAGGUCUUCGGAUUGUAAAGCACUUUAAGUUGGGAGGAAGGGCAGUAAGUUAAUACCUUGCUGUUUUGACGUUACCGACAGAAUAAGCACCGGCUAACUUCGUGCCAGCAGCCGCCGUAACAC
rnacentral:rRNA from 1 species